rnacentral:lncRNA from 1 species
CUGGGGACCUUCAGCCAUCUCCUGGUGGCCCUCGGAUGUCCCCGUGCCACCCCCUGUGUCCCCAUGGUGUCCCCAGGCCAUCCCACAUGUCCCCGUGGUGUCCCCAUCAUGUCCCCUCACCUCCCCGUCCCCGCAGGAGGUGGACAUUGGGCUGGCGGCUGACGUGGGGACCCUGCAGCGCCUCCCGAAGAUCGUGGGCAACCAGAGCCUCGUCAACGAGCUGGCCUUCACCGCCCGCAAGAUGAUGGCCCCCGAGGCGUGGAGCUGCGGCCUGGUGAGCCGCGUGUUCCCGGACCGGGCGGCGUUGCUGCAGGGCGCCCUGGAGCUGGCGGCCUCCAUCGCGGCGCGCAGCCCGGUGGCCGUGCAGGGCACCAAGGUGAACCUGCUGUACUCGCGGGACCACCCCGUCCCCGAAGGGCUCCGCCCCAUGGCCGCCUGGAACAUGAGCAUGCUGCAGACCGACGACAUCCUCAAGUCGGCGCAGGCGGCCAUGGAGAAGAAGCGCCCCGAGGACGUCGCCUACGCCAAGCUGUAGGGGCGGCUGUGGGGUCGGCGCGGCCCCCACCCCAUAAUAAACCCGGCUGCGCCCCCGGCCCGUGUCCUUCCUCGGCCCCGAGGGGUGCUGCAGUGGGGUCCUGUGGGGUGGAUGGGGGCGCAGAGAGGGUGGAUAGGGACAGGGUGACCCAGUGGGACAUGGGACGGGGUUAUGGGGCCACAAAUGGGAGGUGUAUGGGGACACUGAGGGGGCUGUGGGGACAGUGCGGGGUUUAUGGGGUCCCAAAGGGGGUUUAUGGGGCACGGAGGUGUUUAUGGAGACAGAUGGGUGGAUUUAGGAUCCCACAGAGGGUGCAGGGGGCUUCAUGGGGCCCCAAAGGGUGGGUACGUGGUGACACGGCCGUGGCUGUUGGGAUUCGGGGCUUUAGCGGGUCCCAAAGGGCAGGGACGUGAUGACAUGGAGCUGUUUGAGGGGAAAAGUGGCGUUUAUUGGGUCCAAAGGCUGGGUUUAUGGCGGCACAGUGGUGUUUACUGGGACGGACUGGUGCUUAUCAGAUCCCAGAAGGGGGUUACGUGGGGACACAGCGGUGCCCCUUGGGAUUUGGGGCCCCCAAUGGGGGUGUAAGGGGGACAGGGAGGCGUUUUUGGGGGGAAUGGGGCAAGGAAGCUGCGUGAGGCCAGGUCUGAGCAAUCUUUUAAUUACAUGAGAAAAAGAGAAACCGGCCGGAGAAUGCUGCGAGGUGAAGAUAAAUUUAUACAAUAAAUCCCGAAAUCCGUCCCUUCGCA